ACCAGAGAAAAAACCCUUAGAGAAAAUUAAAAAAAAAACUACCGCGGGGGCCUCUUUUUUCUCAGAUUUAGUCCAUUAUGGACUAGAUUUGGGUAGGAAUCCAUCGAUAGCAUAUAGUUCAUAACCUAUUAGUAGAUUCUUAUUAUUUUGCCAUGUUGUUUUUACCCCCUUAUAGAACCCUAAACCUAUUUUCCAUCAUGAAUCCUUUUUAUAUGCUUGGUUAAUCUUCAAUUCCACCGACCCAUAUGAGGCUGUAGACUUCAUUAGAUGCUAUGUUUGUGAUGUUUCCGUUAAUAUAAUAGCUCUGAUUCAACCUCAAAGUUUUGAAUUUCUGAUGUUGGUGCCUGCCUUACCUAGAUCCUGAUGGUGAUGUUAUUGGGUCUAUUCAUUUUUGAAUCGUUCCUUUCUUCUUCAACAUCCGUUCUUCAAGAUCUGAUAGAACAGAGGUGUCAUAGUGGUUAAUCUGUGAGUCUUUCGACGUGUGUUGUUGUAUCUGGUAUGGUUGGUCUUUGAACCAUACUUCACGGAAUGGAGCGGAGCUAGUCAAUGUCCUUCAAUUUGUGUAAAUCCAAUUUUGGUGGAAUAGAGAGUAAGUUAUACGAGGAUGACAAUGAAUGAAGUGUGAGGACACUAUGGUUUUGAUUAUAAGCUUUUUAGUAGUAAGUUCAAUCACUACUACCUAAGGUCAGUUAUUCUCAUCAUCAGGAGCAACAAGUCGAAUCACCAUCAAUUUUUAGAACAUGAUCCUUGUAUGAAACUUUGAAGUUUACAUCAUAAUUUAGCGCUAAAAGCCUACGUAUCUCAUGACCAUCUUAUGGGUCGGUGGAUAAUCUUCAGAUUUUAAUUUAUUGUUCCUAUAUGACCUUUUUAUUGUAUUAGUUAUACUGUGUCUCUGUAUUUUUCGUUAGCUGCAGUCGAGUAUGAAUACUAAUCUUAGUGUAGCGUCUUUCCAUAUAUCUAGUUUACUUUAAAGAGCGGAUCUAAUAGGUAUUGUAGUUCUAUUUCUUGCAUAGUUGUUCUGUAAGUGCUAUAUCUAUAAAGCACAAGUCUAAUAGGUAUUAUAAUAGUUUUUAGUCCUAGUCUAAAUAGUAUUCCAGGCAUCUUUUUUACUUCCGCACUUUGCUUCAGUUUAUGUUAGUAAUCCUCAGGCUAAAUACACAAGUCAAAACUAUCGUUAUGGAUCAAGAGGAAAAAAUAUAAGAUGGACGGGUAAUACACGGGCAAGUCUCCUCAACAUCUUGUUACAAGAACCUGACUGGCAUCUUGGACCAAUUGCAUCAAAAUCAUCCACCAACAACCAAGUUCCUUUGGGCACAACGGUGCCUAUCAAAAGUAUAACUUUUCUUGUGGAAAGCAUUCGUCGAAGGUCCACGGUUCCUCGACAACCUCACCAAUUCCAACAUUUUCCCCCGAUGCAAUACUAAUCCGGAGAAUUUUGAUCCUUCUCUACACCACUAUCUUAUUACAGAAGAUUAUAGACUUGUUGAUCCAAUUGUAACCGUUAAAUUUUCGGGUAUAUCUUGUUUCAAAAAAAAAAUGAUGAAUCAUAAGGACAAUUUUGAGGUUAAUCUAAUGAUUAUAUAUUUAACCUCUAUUGAAGUGAUGAUCAUAUUUAUGUUGUUUUGAUCAUCUUAUGAGUCACCAGUCUUGUAUUUUCAUGUACGGUGAAAUGAACCAUUAUUGUUA